UUGAACACAAUCACUAGAAAUUUUUUUGUUUGUUUAUUUACAAUUUGUUUGUUUACAACUGAACUGUCAGUUGAGACAGUGCCACUGCGUCUUUUUCGGGGUUAAAUUAGACAUUUGGCGCUUUUUUUCCUUAUUUCGCGAUUAAUUUUUCCAAAAAAUAUUUAGCAACACUGAAUCAAGUAAGGCUAUGCGAAAGAAAGAACGAAAGUUAGUGGAACGCAUUCUUAUACGAAAGUGAGUGAGUAGCCUUCGUUCGCACAAAUUUUCUUUCGAGAUCGUGGAACAGGCUGAUAGUUGUUUCGUAACUAAUACACCAAUUCGGUGUUGGUGUUCUUUAGUAUAUAUGUGAUCACAUAAAAGGCGGUUCAUUAUCUUUAUAUCAUUUGGGAUCCACCCAGUCCCAUUAUACCAGGGUUUUUCGUAUAUAUUGUUUGUAAUUGAGGCAAAUUUUCUUCCUUUUGUUUCUGAUUUAAAAACAAAUUCAUCAUUCCAGUCUUCAUAAAUAUGUUCUUUGAUAGCUCUCAGAGCUUCAUUAUUAGAUAAUUUAACUUCUAGUGGAGCACCGUAUAUGCGAUUUUCGCAAUUGCAUCAGCCUCAAUGCCACAAUGGCUGGAUGUCCAGACAACAUGGCAUGAUUCAAUAUUAGAUGCAGCUAAUUUGUUGUGGAACACUGCGACCGUAUAGUUGUCACAAUUGUCAUUGAUAAGUGCUUUGCAUGCCAAAAGACUGUCAGUGAAGAACACACAUUUUUUAAAUCUAUCUCCAACAGCUAUCUCAAGAGCAUUGAAUAAAGACCAAAGCUCUCCAAACAUUGAUGAUGAUUUGAAGCCAAUUUUAAUGUAGAAUUUUUGAUCUAGAGAAUUGUUGUAGGCCGCACACCCCAUAGAGCUUGCGGAAAUAGAUGGAAUCAGAUAAUAAGUUGAGUUUGAGUUGUAGACUCUUUUGUCGUGUAAAGUUAGGAAUGUUCAUAAAGCUGUCGAAAUUUGUCUUAAACUCAUAGUAGACAUGGCUGUAAAUAGACUUCAUUACUGGAUUAUCUGAAAUAAUAUCAAACAAAGCAGUUGUUAAGGCUCUAUAUUUUGGUGGGAGUUCUUGGGCAACGGUAUACAACACAUGAGUGGGGUAGACUUUGUAACCCCAAGACACCGUCUUAAUAUAUCAUUUUGAGUGUGUCAAUUUUCUUAUUUAUGUAUUCGGGUGAGUUAGCAGUGAAUGUUCUCGCGUACUAAAGUUUGGAUCGUACCACACUUUUAUAUAUAUUUAGUGCGUUCUUUGGUUGCCACCUUUCACGGAGGCCAAGCACUAUAACAUGUUUGACCUUGAACGAAUAUCACGGCCGAUUUUUUCGUAAUGAUCCUUGACCGUCAGGGAGAUGGUUAACACUCUUCCAAUAAAUGUUAAUUUCCGUUGCUGUUUUACGGUAAAGCCAUUGAUACUUAAAUUGAUCUCUUUGUGCUGUUUUUUUUUUUUGCAAAGUACAUUGUAUGUGAUUUGGAUGGAUUAAAGGAGAGGUUUAAACUGUUACAGUAUCUUUUGAAGAUAAGAGUUUUCGUCUGAAGAUUUUGAGCAGCAAUCUCAAAAUCUCUAUUAUAGAAUAGGAUGAUAAAGUCGUCCGCAUACUGAAAGACCAUGGUGUUGCUGUUUUCAAUCUGGUGUAAUUCAGCAGUAUAUAUAUUGAAGACCAUCCUUGACAGUAAUCUUCCCAUUUCCCCUCACAAGUGUCCGUUCAGAUAAAAAAUUAUGUAUCCACCUACAGUAGAACCCAUUUAAAUUUAUUGGGAUAUCGUACUUAACGCAGUUGUAUGCAUUACUUAUAUCAAGAGAUAAGAUCACGGUUUCAAAUCCAUUGAUUUUAAGUAAGGACAAUCGGUGGAGUAGAUCAUUAAUACAAGUCGAGAUGGAGCGAUUCCUGACAUUAACAUUGCAACACGGGUAUAAGAGAGAUGGGUCGGAAAUUAUAAGUUUGGUCGUGAUCUUUGUUUGGUUUCGGGAUAGGAACAAUCUUGAUGCACUUCCAACUACAGCGUAUGCAAUUAUCCUCAAUAGUAUUAUUUAUGACAGUGAGAAUAACCCUCUUAAAUAUCCCCGGUAAUGCCUUAAGUAUGGAGUAAGUGACUCCGUCAACUCCUCCUGCUGACAAUUUUCAAAGUCUUCGAAUUCUAAGAAAACAAAACGUGCGUGUUCUCCACAAAAUGUCUGCCGGAAAUGUAGCGAAAAUUAGAUGACUUUCAGAUUCUGGUAUGUUGCAGACAUCUCAUAAGUUGGUGUCCGCUCUAUUUACUUUAAACAGGUGACAAAGAUAACCCAGCUUUCCAAUGUAAUACUGGAGGUGAAGCGAAGAAUUGGGAGAAAUUGCGGAAUAUGCAUCAUUGAUUGAUAGAUGUGUUAUUAUUAUACAGCCAAGUGUGACCGCUAGUCAGCACGUUCAUCUGCUGUGAUGCCUAUAUAUGACGGAACCCAUAUAAAGAAAACAAAACGUGUGCGUUCUCCACAAAAUGUCUGCCGGAAGUGUAGCGAAAAUUGGAUGACUUUCACAUUCUGGUAUGUUGCAGACAUCACAUAAGUUGGUGUUCGCUCUAUUUACUUUAAAAAGGUGACAAAGAUAACCCAGCAUACCAUUGUGAUUUUAGAGGUGAAGCGUAGAAUUGGAAGAAGCAUAUGCUUUUUGUUCUUCAUAUUGUUUUGCAGUUGUUGACCCAUUCAUUCCACAGAUUGCAGAAUAUGCAUCAUUGAUUGAUAUAUGUGUUAUUAUUAUACAGCCAACUGUGGCCACUAGUCAGCACAUUCAUCUGCUGUGAUGCAUAUAUGUGACGGAACCGGAAUAAAGAAAACAAAACGUGUGCGUUCUCCACAAAAUGUCUGCCGGAAAUGUAGCGAAAAUUGGAUGACUUUCACAUUCUGGUAUGUUGCAGACAUCACAUAAGUUGGUGUCCGCUCUAUUUACUUUAAAAAGGUGACAAAGAUAACCCAGCAUACCAUUGUGAUUUUAGAGGUGAAGCGAAGAAUUGGAAGAAGCAUAUGCUUUUUGUUCUUCAUAUUGUUUUGCAGUUGUUGACCCAUUCAUUCCACAGAUUGCAGAAUAUGCAUCAUUGAUUGAUAUAUGUGUUAUUAUUAUACAGCCAACUGUGGCCACUAGUCAGCACAUUCAUCUGCUGUGAUGCAUAUAUGUGACGGAACCGGAAUAAAGAACUUUGUAAAAAAGGAUGUCUAGUCCUUUAGAACUAUUUAGAGAGAUUCUCUGGAGAAUUUUUCGUGUUCAUAAACUGGCUUCGAUGAAAUAACUUCAACGGACUAAGCGACUGAGUGAAUGUGUUUUGGUUGGAGAGCUGCUACUUUGUUGUAUUAGACUUUGGUUAUUCUUCUAUUUAUCUCUUCUUGGAUGUUUCUUGAAAGGGCAUGGUGAGUGUUCAUUUGUGGGAACUCUUCAUUGAAAUUGUCUUCAGCUAGUAUAUUGAAAAAGUUUUGUAUUUCUGGAUUUCCCUCUAGGACAUUUAUUUCCAUCUUUUGGGGUAUGCGCAUAAAAUGCAUUUUGGGAAGUCACACUUGACCUUGCAUGCUGUUGUAUUCAGGCAAUUUUGACACUUUUGUUUCCUAGAGCGGCAUCGAGCAGCAAUAUGACCCAGACAGCCACAAUUCAAACACUAUCGAACUGGGGGUACGUAAAGAUCCGGUGUUAUUCUGGUUCCACACAUGAAUAUGAAUUGGGGAACUCCAUCGUAAAUUAUUUCAAUUUUAACCGUUUCAGUCGGUAUUAUUUUGUUGUUUCCUCUUUUCUAAUAAAGCGGUAAAUUGAAGUGACAUCAAUAGGAUUAUUACGCUGAAUUGUUUGCAUCAAUUGAUAUUGAGACGUUUUUAAUUAUAUAAUAUAACCGUUGUACAAAACGGUCAGGUAUUUCCGCUUUUAAACCAAGUUCUUGUAAUUUGGCAUUGGCUGCAACAGAAUUGUUGAAUGUAAAACGAAAGCUCGGCAUACAGAUGCAACUCAGAAUUUUUCCUUCGGGUGCUUAUCUGAGUUUCAGUCUUAACCAGGACCUAGAAUGGCCCAGGAUGAUUUUUUGGGUAAAAAACAUUGGAUUUGUUGACCCAUUCAUUCCACAGAUUGCGGAAUAUGCAUCAUUGAUUGAUACACGUGUUAUUAUUAUACAGCCAACUGUGGCCGCUAGUCAGCACAUUCAUCUGCUGUGAUGCCUAUAUGUGACGGAACCCAUAUAAAGAAAACAAAACGUGUGCGUUCUCCACAAAAUGUCUGCCGGAAGUGCAGCGAAAAUUAGAUGACUUUCAGAUUCUGGUAUGUUGCAGACAUCACAUAAGUUGGUGUCCACUCUAUUUAAUCUAAAAAUAUAGGUCUUUGCAAAUGUAUGGCCAGCCAAAAGACAAUUUAUUAACUUGAUUUCUCCAGGUGACAAAGAUAACCCAGCAUACCAAUGUGAUUUUGGAGGUGAAGCAAAGAAUUGGGAGAAGUAUAUGCCUUUUGUUCUUCAUAUUGUUUUGUAGUUGUUGACCCAUUCAUUUCACAGAUUGCGGAAUAUGCAUCAUUGAUUGAUAGAUGUGUUAUUAUUAUACAGCCAACUGUGGCUGCUAGUCAGCACGUUCAUCUACUGUGAUGACGGAACACAUAUAAAGAACUUUGUAAAAAAGGAUGUCUAGUCAUUUAGAACUAUUUAGACAGAUCCUCUGGAGAAUUUUUCGUGUUCAUAAACUGGCUUCGAUGAAAUAACUUCAACGGACUAAGCGACUGGGUGAAAGUGUUUUGGUUGGAGAGCUGCUACUUUGUUGUAUUAAACUUUGGUUAUUCUUCUAUUUAUCUCUUCUUGGAUGUUUCUUAAAAGGGCAUGGUGAGUGUUCAUUUGUGGGAACUCUUCAUUGAAAUUGUCUUCAGCUAGUAUAUUGAAAAAGUUUUGUGUUUCUGGGUAAGUUUGAGUCACUUCCUUUCUAGUAAUAGAUUUGAUGUUAUAUUUUUCAGAUUCCCCCUAGGACACUUAUUUUGAUCUUUUGGGGUGUGCGCAUAAAAUGCAUUUUGGGAAGUCACACUUGACCUUGCAUGCUGUUGUAUUCAGGCAAUUUUGACACUUUUGUUUCCUAGAGCGGCAUCGAGCAGCAAUAUGACCCAGACAGCCACAAUUCAAACACUAUCGAACUGGUGCGGUAAAAUGAAGUGACAUUAAUAGGAUUAUUACGCUGAAUUGUUUGCAUCAACUGAUAUUGAGACGUUUUUAAUUAUAUAAUAAAACCGUUGUACAAAACGGUCAGGUAUUUCCGCUUUUAAACCAAGUUCUUGUAAUUUGGCAUUCAACAGAAUUGUUGAAUGUAAAACGAAAGCUUGGCAUACAGAUGCAACUCACAAUUUUUCCUUCGGGACCUAGAAUGGCCCAGGAUGAUUUUUUGGGUAAAAAACAUUGGAUGUAAGUGCAUUGUGAUUUUGGAGGUGAAGCGAAGAAUUGGGAGAAAUUGCGGAAUAUGCAUCAUUGAUUGAUACAUGUGUUAUUAUUAUACAGCCAACUGUGGCCGGUAGUCAGCACAUUCAUCUGCUGUUAUGCCUAUAUGUGACGGAACCCAUAUAAAGAACUUUGUAAAAAAGGAUGUCUAGUCCUUUAGAACUAUUUAGAGAGAUCCUCUGGAGAAUUUUUCGUGUUCAUAAACUGGCUGAAAUAACUUCAACGGACUAAGCGACUGGGUGAAUGUGUUUUGGUUGGAGAGCUGCUACUUUGUUGUAUUAAACUUUGGUUAUUCUUCUAUUUAUCUCUUCUUGGAUGUUUCUUGAAAGGGCAUGGUGAGUGUUCAUUUGUGGGAACUCUUCGUUGAAAUUGUCUUCAGCUAGUACAUUGAAAAACUUUUGUGUUUCUGGACUUCCCCCUAGGACACUUAAUUUGAUCUUUUGGGGUGUGCGCAUAAAAUGCAUUUUGGGAAGUCACUCUUGACCUUGCAUGCUGUUGUAUUCAGGCAAUUUUGACACUUUUGUUUCCUAGAGCGGCAUCGAGCAGCAAUAUGACCCAGACCGCCACAAUUCAAACACUAUCGAACUGGUGUCGCUAUUAUUUUGUUGUUUUCCUCUUUUCUUAUAAAGCGGUAAAUUUAAGUGACAUUAAUAGGAUUAUUACGCUGAAUUGUUUGCAUGAAUUGAUAUUGAGACGUUUUUAAUUAUAUAAUAAAACCGUUGUACAAAACGGUCAGGUAUUUCCGCUUUUAAACCAAGUUCUUGUAAUUUGGCAUUGGCUGCCACAGAAUUGUUGAAUGUAAAACGAAAGCUUGGCAUACAGAUGCAACUCACAAUUUUUCCUUCGGGUGCUUAUCUGAGUUUCAGUCUUAACCAGGACCUAGAAUGGCCCAGGAUGAUUUUUUGGGUAAAAAACAUUGGAUGUAAGUGCAACGUACAAGAACUGAACAUUAAACCAUUUUAACCCUUUCAGUGUUUUUGUCAAAUAUAUUUGACAUUUAAAAGUACUCUCUUUCUUUGCCAUUUUUUGUUUUUCUUACGAACCGUUAGUUUUGAUAUUUUUUAAUAACAGACAUGUUCGCUAUUUAAAAAUAUUGCAGUUAUAUUCUAUUAGUUUCGUUUUCGAAUUUCUGAGCACAUUUUAGUAAAUUAGUACGGAAUUUCAGAUUUUUAUCUCGACAAAAAUUUUCAUUGACACUGAAAGGGUUAAAUUAUUUUCCUUUUUAUUCAAAAUAAUACACACACAUAUAUUAACGGUGUAUAUGUUUUGACGGAAUAGUUUGGCUUGUAAUGUAAGAAAGCUUUAAGCUGGGAAUAUAUAAAGCGCUUAUUUGGCUGGCUUCUUCGGAAAUGAAGGAGCCUAGGGCCAAAAUCGAACUAGGUCAACCUAAAACUCCUUUGUUCAUUUAUGAAGAAGCCAGCCGAUGACUUAAGCCAGCCAAAUAUGCGCUUUAUGUAUUUAAAGCCUUACUCUAGUUUAGUGAAAACUCUUCAAUUUUUUCGAAACUCUAGUAGUAGGUAUUUUUACCCUGAUCCCGGGAAACUAUAUUGUCUUGGGGACAGACCCGAGAUCCCAAAUUUUUGCUCCGAAGUCCGAUUUUUAAGCGGUUCGGAAGUUAUAGUCAAAUUAUCGGAUUUUUUAUAAAACCCCCAAAAAACCGAAAUAGGACGCAUUAUGUGGGUUAACCAGACUGUUGCCAAAUUAUUACUGACACUCUUACCUUUCCAAAAUGGUACAAUUUGCGCGAAUAAUUUUUCUGGGUCCAGGUAUAUGGGUCUUUUCAACCGCAUUAAAUUUAGAAAAACUUUAGUUCGCGUUGCCGGUAGAACGUACCCAGAAGAAGGUAUUAGAACAAAUUAUAGAAAUUUGUGAAAAGUAAUACUGUCAGUCAUAAUAUGGCAUCAAAUUUGUUAAUGUUUUUCGAUUUUUUAGGAUUUUUAUAAAAAAAUAGGAUCCAAAAAAAUCGAUAAUUUGACUAUAACUUCCAAACCGCAUUCUAACUCUACCUAUAUUGUAUAUAAUGGGGUAAGUGGAUCCGGCCCAGCCCCAUGAAUCCGGACUUUCUGGUAAAAAUAAAUCUGGGGGCCUGGGUCUGUCCCCCAAGAAAGCAAUAGUUUCCCGGAAUCAGGGUAAAAAUUCCUACCUCUACCAAUUUUUUAUUAUUGAAAAGAUUACACACAUAAACAAAUAAAGUUGACAUAUUGAGCCAAGAAAAUAAUAAAAAUUAAAAUCUUAAUUUUAUUGUACCAUAUUUCCUCUACCUUCUGUGAUUGUGUCAUGGGUCCUUUCUUUCUUUAGUUUAAGUAGUUCCAGUUUUUAUUCUUCUUUCAGUUCACAGCGAUACCGAACAUUCGGCGUACAAAUAAAACUCAUGUAUUUCGUAUUUCAAUUAAGUCGGGCGUCCAAAAAAAACUUGAAUGUUUGUAGUUGGAAAUAUUACAAUUGGGCGGAUUUAAAUAGGCAUAAAUUUUUACAACAGUUUUAAUUGGUAGAUUUCAAGAUAUGGACCUGGCGUAUUUGGGGAAUUAGGACGUACAAAGCAUCUAACUAUAGUGGAGAUCUUGAAUAUUUGUGUACGCUACGUGGAAAUUUAGGUAACGGUGUCAUUUGGAGCCAAGGUAUAAUUCAUGGAAGAAUAAUACAGGUAACAGCAACAGUUGUUGCGCAACAAACGUAAUAACAACCACACACAAAUUUGUUUUUGUACGUAAUACAAGUGUCAGAGUUAUAUGUCCAAAAAUGUAAAUAAAACAUUAAUAUUCAAUAAAUUAUUUAAUUUCAAAAAUGUUAUGUUUAGACUUUGAAUUAUUAAAAAAACAGAAGAAUAGUUAUGGAAAUAUUUAAUUUUAAUGAUUUCACAUCAUUCUCCUAAAUCAUACAUGCCCAGUAGUGGCUGAUUUCAGCAAUUUCAACUCACACGUAUUCUUACACUCUUUUGUUUGAUCGCCAAUCAACCAAUAGGAAAGCAGAAAUAUGAGUGGGAGAGAUAAGCUACACAGGCAGAAGUUCUGUGUAAUAUUUACAUUUAAUCGAGACUGCUGUUAGUGAACACAUAAACUGAAAAUUAUUGCGAUAUGUCAAUGAUGUCAUUUGAAAAGUGUUUUAUGCCACAAAAUCUAUGAUUUAGGACAUAGAUGCCCAAUGUAAUAGUAUUGGUGAGAGCGACGAAAUAACACUGGAAGAAAAGAUUUUUCUAUUCAUUUUAUUUAGUCGUCAACGAGAUAGCGACGAAAGCACAUGUGUGGCGGGUGCCGUCAUUUUUUUCUUUUUCUGGGAAAUGUAAAAUUAAUGAAUGUACAUGUUUUAGAAUACUCUUGAUAAAUGCAUUUAUUUUAGUAAUACUCUUGAUGAAUUUAUAUACAUUUUAAAUUGUUUUUCUUUUUCUUCCCCCUGCAAACAAUUCAUGUCUUUAUGAACAGCUUCAAAAUGUUUUUUUUUUUUUUAAUUACAUUUCUUAUUUUUUUUAAAUGUCUUAUAACAUAUAACA